rnacentral:rRNA from 1 species
AUUGAACGCUGGCGGCAGGCCUACCACCUGCAAGUCGAGCGAGCGGCGGACGGGUGAGUAAUGUCAGGGCAACUGCCUGAUGGCGGGGGAUAACUACUGGAAACGGUAGCUAAUACCGCAUACAAUCAGAGGUGCCCAGGUGGGAUUAGCUAGUAGGUGGGGUAACGGCUCACAUAGGCGACGAUCCAUAGCUGGUCUGAGAGGACGACCAGCCACACUGGAACUGAGACACGGUCCAGACUCCUACGGGAGGAAGCAGUGGGGAAUAUUGCACAAUGGGCGCAAGCCUGAUGCAUCCAUGCCGCGUGUGUGAAGAAGGCCUUCGGGUUGGAAAGCACUGUCAGCGGGGAGGCGUUACCCGCAGAAGAAGCACCGGCGAACUCCGUGCCAGCAGCCGCGGUAAUAC